AUGGGGCGUCAGGGACGUGUCCAAGACAUGCUUUUUAGUGUUGCUUCCAUGAGACUUGUGUUUGCAGGACAUAAACUACAGUUUAUGAAGAACGUGACCCUGAGACGCAGUUUCAACGUUUCAAAUGCAGGCAAAAAAUUUUCAUCUGGUCAUAUUUUUUACUGUCAGCUCAACACGAAUUCAAGUCAUCUGGCACACAUCAGGCAAUCAUGCGUUUUUUUCUCCAUAGGCAUUAUUGUGGUCUCAUGGAAAGGAUUUCAGGAACACAUUGGACUGUGAUAAUGGAACAUGCAGCAAAAUUUGAUUUCCCUCCAUUCCCGGAGGCUUUCUGGAGCAAGAAAAGCGUAAAGAUACAGUUUAGAUAAGAAUAUAGGUCUAAUGUUCUGUAAUGCAAUAUUGUAAUGCAUUAAACAUAGACUAACUUUCCUCAACACUGUGUAAAACACAAAACAAGGAAGUGCAAAGUUAAAACACCUGUAAAACAUGACAAUAAUCAAUAGAGAAAAUUCCUUCAUAUUAAGACAGUACAUUGUGUGCUUUUUCUGGACAUUUUCACAGUAUGUUCUACUGGUUGAGCUAGAGGAAGACAAAUAAAUAAAUCUCUUAAACAGAACUGAAAUUCCUG
ensembl:lncRNA